rnacentral:rRNA from 1 species
CCUACGGUGUGCAGCAGUGAGGAAUAUUGGUCAAUGGGCGCGAGCCUGAACCAGCCAAGUAGCGUGAAGGAUGACUGCCCUACGGGUUGUAAACUUCUUUUAUAAAGGAAUAAAGUGAGGCACGUGUGCCAUUUUGUAUGUACUUUAUGAAUAAGGAUAGGCUAACUCCGUGCCAGCAGCCGCGGUAAUACGGAGGAUCCGAGCGUUAUCCGGAUUUCUUGGGUUUAAAGGGAGCGUAGAUGGGUUGUUAAGUCAGUUGUGAAAGUUUGCGGCUCAACCGUAAAAUUGCAAUUGAUACUGGCAUCCUUGAGUACAGGUGAGGUAGGCGGAAUUCGUUGUGUAGCGGUGAAAUGCUUAGAUAUCACGAAGAACUCCGAUUGCGAAGGCAGCUUACUAAACUGCCACUGACAUUGAUGCUCGAAAGUGUGGGUAUCAAACAGGAUUAGAUACCCCAGUAGUC